GGUUAGAAAUUGAUUCGGGCUCGGCCGAUCCUCCCACCCUUUGUGUACCUACCUCUGUUGCUUUGGCGGGCCGCGGUCCUCCGCGGCCGCCCCCCUCCCCGGGGGGGUGGCCAGCGCCCGCCAGAGGACCAUCAAACUCCAGUCAGUAAACGAUGCAGUCUGAAAAACAUUUAAUAAACUAAAACUUUCAACAACGGAUCUCUUGGUUCUGGCAUCGAUGAAGAACGCAGCGAAAUGCGAUAAGUAAUGUGAAUUGCAGAAUUCAGUGAAUCAUCGAAUCUUUGAACGCACAUUGCGCCCUUUGGUAUUCCGAAGGGCAUGCCUGUUCGAGCGUCAUUACAACCCUCAAGCUCUGCUUGGUAUUGGGCACCGUCCUUUGCGGGCGCGCCUCAAAGACCUCGGCGGUGGCGUCUUGCCUCAAGCGUAGUAGAACAUACAUCUCGCUUCGGAGCGCAGGGCGUCGCCCGCCGGACGAACCUUCUGAACUUUUCUCAAGGUUGACCUCGGAUCAGGUAGGGAUACCCGCUGAACUUAAGCAUAUCAAAGAGCCGAAGGAA
rnacentral:rRNA from 1 species